rnacentral:rRNA from 1 species
UACGUAGGUGACCAGCGUUGUCCGGAUUUACUGGGCGUAAAGAGCGCGCAGGCGGUCGUUCAAGUCGAGUGUGAAAGCCCCCGGCUCAACUGGGGAGGGUCACUCGAUACUGAUCGACUGGAAGGCAGGAGAGGGAAGCGGAAUUCCCGGUGUAGUGGUGAAAUGCGUAGAUAUCUGGAGGAACACCGGUGGCGAAGGCGGCAUCCUGGACCACGACUGACACUGAAAAGCGAAAGCCAGGGGAGCAAACGGG